UUCAUACUCCCUCCGUCCUAAAAAAUUUAUCUUAGAUUUGUCUAAAUAUAAAUGUAUCUAGUCAUGUUUUAGUAUUUAGGUACAUUCAUUUUUAGACAAACUUAAGACAAUAAUUUUAGGACGGAGGGAGUAUUAA
rnacentral:pre_miRNA from 1 species